rnacentral:rRNA from 1 species
UGGGGGAUAACGCCGGGAAACUGGCGCUAAUACCGCAUAAGCCCGAGAGGGGAAAGAUUUAUUGCCAGAGGAAUGGCCUAUAUCAGAUUAGAUAGUUGGUGAGGUAAAGGCUCACCAAGUCUGUGAUCUGUAGCUGAUCUGAGAGGAUGAUCAGCCACACUGGGACUGAUACACGGCCCAGACUCCUACGGGAGGCAGCAGUGGGGAAUAUUGGACAAUGGGGGAAA